GGUUAGUGCAAUGGCAUAAGCCAGCUUGACUGCGAGCGUGACGGCGCGAGCAGGUGCGAAAGCAGGUCAUAGUGAUCCGGUGGUUCUGAAUGGAAGGGCCAUCGCUCAACGGAUAAAAGGUACUCCGGGGAUAACAGGCUGAUACCGCCCAAGAGUUCAUAUCGACGGCGGUGUUUGGCACCUCGAUGUCGGCUCAUCACAUCCUGGGGCUGAAGUAGGUCCCAAGGGUAUGGCUGUUCGCCAUUUAAAGUGGUACGCGAGCUGGGUUUAGAACGUCGUGAGACAG
rnacentral:rRNA from 1 species